rnacentral:rRNA from 1 species
CCAACAGGGAUUGCCUCAGUAACGGCGAGUGAAGCGGCAAAAGCUCAAAUUUGAANUCUGNCCCUUCGGNUCCGAGUUGUAAUUUGCAGAGGAUGUUUCGGGUAAGAUUUUGGUCUAAGUUCCUUGGAACAGGACGUCAUAGAGGGUGAGAAUCCCGUACGUGACUGUUAAUCGCACCCAUGUGAAACUCCUUCGACGAGUCGAGUUGUUUGGGAAUGCAGCUCAAAAUGGGUGGUAAAUUUCAUCUAAAGCUAAAUAUUGGCUAGAGACCGAUAGCGCACAAGUAGAGUGAUCGAAAGAUGAAAAGCACUUUGAAAAGAGAGUUAAACAGUAUGUGAAAUUGUUGAAAGGGAAGCGCUUGUAACCAGACUUGUUUAUAGGGUUCAGCCGUCGUUCUCGUCGGUGUAUUUCCCUAUUAUCAGGCCAGCAUUAGUUUAAGUGGAAGGUCAAAGGCCUUGGGAAUGUAUCAUCCUCCGGGAUGUCUUAUAGCCCUCGGUGUAAUGCUUCCCUCCUGGACUGAGGAACGCGCUUUUGCUCGGAUGCUGGCGUAAUGGUUGUAAGCGACC